AUUCCCUUUUUUAACAUCUCUAGCUCCUCCUUAAAAAUAUUUUUUUUUUUUUCUUUAAUCUAAGUUUCCCCAACUCUUUCACCACCGUCACAUGCUCAUCGGCUCGGUUUGUACUGCUUGCAAAACCAAGGAAAGCGAUGUCUGGGUCAGGGGAGGGAGAGGGUUAAAUUGGAUGCAUUCCGUCUGUCCUGACUCCUGAACAGGGGUACGCAUCGGGUUUGAUUCCGUCCUCUUCCUCCUCUCCCGAACCUAAGAGGCCAUGGAAACAUCCGAGAUCCCGACAACCGUGACGGGGCAGACGCAGGAAAGCUUCAAUGUGGUCAUGAACAGCAAGCCUCUGCAUCUGUUCAUCAAGAGGGAGACGCAGACUCUUGGGAUUGUGGUUUUGAUGUUUGGCUGUGCGGAGCUCCUGAUGGCGUCUGAAUUCUUUUUUAUUUACAAUUCGUCUUACGUCUACAUGACCUUCGGGCAGGGAGCCGUGUUUUUCAUCUGCGGGAUUCUUUCCAUUUCAAGUGUCCGUCAUCCAUCCAAGAAAUGUGUGACGAUAUGUUUGGCCAUGUAUGUGGUGACACUCAUUGGAAUAGCCAUUUCAACGCUCAUCAAUAUUAAGUUUUUUGCUGAUUUGUUUCACUAUUUCGAACAUGAAUUACCCUCCCACUUAAUGAAAAAUGUUAUUGAAGCCAUAUUGUUCCUUUGUAGCUUGUGUGUUUCUGGACUGCUUAUCUUUUUGUCUACGGCUGCACGUAGAGCUCUGAAGUCAACACAAUCCCAGGUGAUUGUCCAGCACGUCAAUCCAGCCAUGACACUUGAAACAAUACCGACUGAAUAGCAUGUUUCUGCUUAUUCAGUCAUGUAAAUCAGCACUGUCUUGAAAUGGUAUCAAUCUCACUUUUGGCGCCAUCUCCGGCUUUAUAUGGAUGGGCCAGCACACCAGGUGGCACAACAACACAUUUUUUAUCUUUAUUUUCCAACACAUGCUACGUUUAAUGCCUACUUUUGUACAAACAGUGUGUUUUUAAAUUCAUAAUGCGUAACGAUCUCUAAUUCUUGUUUGAUAUUUUUUUAUGUUUUAUUAUUACCACUAUAGUUGGCUUUACUGUUAGUCUACUGUUUUAUAUAUCACAUACAUUUCCACUGGAAGACACUGGUUUUAAGUAUUUAAAUUGUUUAAGAUAAAAUUAUUGGGGCCGACAUUCCUAUUACAGAUUAUAAAACGCUAUUUAAAUCGCAAUAUUCAACCUUUCUUGCUUGAUUGUAAAGGGCCUACUUACAUAAUAUGACCUAAAUCAGUAAUAAACGCAAAACCCAAAAUAAAAUGUUCUAAACAAUGUUAUCAAAA